rnacentral:rRNA from 1 species
UACAGAGGGUGCGAGCGUUAAUCGGAAUUACUGGGCGUAAAGCGUGCGUAGACGGCUAUCUAAGUCGGGUGUGGAAGCCCCGGGCUCAACCUGGGAAUUGCAUUCGAGACUGAAUAGCUAGGGUGCGGUAGAGGGAAGCGGAAUUUCCGGUGUAGCGGUGAAAUGCGUAGAUAUCGGAAGGAACAUCAGUGGCGAAAGCGGCUUCCUGGACCAGCACCGACGUUCAGGCACGAAAGCGUGGGGAGCAAACAGG